rnacentral:rRNA from 1 species
UGCCACAGCCAUAUCACCCUGCAGCCCAAGACCAGUUACUCACUGAAGCUAAGCAGGGCUGAGCCUGGUCAGUACCUGGAUGGGAGACCACUAGGGAACACUAGGUUGCUGUUGGAA